AGAGACUGUAAAAAUCAUAAGAAGCAACUAGGACUGCAGAGGAAACAAACUGGAGAGAACAAAAGGUCGUGCUCUGAUGCAUUUACAGAAGCCAUGGCAGGAGAGAGUCAGCUGCUGGAGAAGAGGAGACAGUACUAUCCCUGUGCAGCACGGAACUGUGCUACUGCUGUGUCAUCAGCUGUGUCUGCACUGAAAGUAGCCACCUUCACUUGUAGGUAGCUCCUUGGUGCUUUAGGACACGCUGAGGGAUUUAUUCCUUUUGGGAUCCACGAUGAGAAUUCCCAAGAGAGGUAGUAGUAAUAAGGUCUGAGAUUGGAAAAAAGCCUGUGUCCUUGGAAUGUUGUUGUUGUCGUCAAAAGUUAAUUUUUCCUUCUUUCUUA